rnacentral:tRNA from 1 species
GGGCGAUUGGCUCAGUCGGUUAGAGCGCCGCCUUCACACGGCGGAGGUCACAGGUUCGAGUCCUGUAUCGCCCACCC